rnacentral:rRNA from 1 species
AGUGAACGCUGGCGGUAGGCCUAACACAUGCAAGUCGAACGGCAGCACAGUAAGAGCUUGCUCUUACGGGUGGCGAGUGGCGGACGGGUGAGGAAUACAUCGGAAUCUACUUUUUCGUGGGGGAUAACGUAGGGAAACUUACGCUAAUACCGCAUACGACCUACGGGUGAAAGCAGGGGAUCUUCGGACCUUGCGCGAUUGAAUGAGCCGAUGUCGGAUUAGCUAGUUGGCGGGGUAAAGGCCCACCAAGGCGACGAUCCGUAGCUGGUCUGAAAGGAUGAUCAGCCACACUGGAACUGAGACACGGUCCAGACUCCUACGGGAGGCAGCAGUGGGGAAUAUUGGACAAUGGGCGCAAGCCUGAUCCAGCCAUACCGCGUGGGUGAAGAAGGCCUUCGGGUUGUAAAGCCCUCUUGUUGGGAAAGAAAAGCAGCAGGUUAAUACCCCGCUGUUCUGACGGUACCCAAAGAAUAAGCACCGGCUAACUUCGUG